CUCUCCACCCACAGCGGCUCCUCGCGUGCGGCUGCCGCUGCGUUCCCUCGCUUGGAUUUGAACCGCCCGCGCCUCCAACCGCUGCCGCGCUGCCUUCCCGCCUCCGGCACGCUGCGGCCCUCGGGCCGGCGGCUCCGCCCUGCGCGCGGGCAGCGCGGUGGCGGGCCUCAGGACAGCGGCGCUGCCCAACGGGGGACACCGCUUCUCCGGGGCGCUAGGAAACACCGGCAAAGCUCGCCUCCUCUCCCGCUUUAUACUUCAGUCCUGCGGUCCCUGCCUCACACAGCCCACCAUUAAAAGUGCCCCUGAGUCGUUCCGCCCCGGGCUCGGCUUCUCAUUCACCCUGUGAGGGUGAGGCUUUCCCGCCUCUGAGAGCCCGCUCAGCUCCCGGCGGAUGGCUGAGGCGCGGCUUCAGAAGAGCAGCGCAAUCACAGCCAGACGGAGACUUCGCAGAUAAUCAACCUUAUCUGCACAACAGCUUGAGUUAUAAGGGUGCUAAUUAAUUCGAGUUAAUUAGUACACUUACACCUGACGGCCCAGGAACUAUUACAGAGCGUUUGUUAAGCUCAGUCUCUUUUCAACCACUGUCAAUCGGGUGGGAGAUGCCCUGUGAUGAUAAUUCGUGCCCUACUUGUAGUUAAUAUGUUUUAUUUUUUAAAAUCGAACAACCAACCAACAAAACUCCAACACUGUUUCCCCUGGUCUGGGUAAAGUUCCAGUUUUCUCCCUCCACCAGAACAACAUCAGAUCCGAACGAGAGAUGUAAAAAUCAUCGUGUGUGACUUAAAAGGCAACAUUUACAUUUAAAGAAGCAAAUCAGAGGCUUUCCAAAGAAACGGCGAAAUUAAAGAAGAGAGGUUUGGGAAACCUGCAGCCUUCCCUUCGGAAACCUUCACCCUCCAGCCUCUCACAGCCCAGCCGGCGAGGGGACAGCGGCUGUCGGCCCCUGGCAGGCUGAGACGGGCUGAGGAAACACGGGUUUGAAAAGUUACCUAUCAAACUGUGGUGGGUUUAGAUAAAGAAUAUUGUUUGAUGUGACUACAGAGUAAGAGUUAUGGAUGAAAACAAACGAAAAAGGCAAAGGCUGUUGGAGUACUUCCUCUUUUCGUUUGAGAGGGAGAAAUAAUUUGAAACUUCUUAGAAUUUAAUACAAGUUCUCUGAAAGUGCUUUCUGUAAUCUCAUCUAUAUUACAUGAAUCAGAGGAAAUUGUUUCUCAUUUUGUCGUAUUGAUUUAUAACAUAAAUUACUAUUUCUGUGAAACUGGCAACUUGCUAGCUUCUUAAAGCAGGACACAGCAGAUGCAGGUUCUGUCUCUGGCACUCAAACCCGGAUGGACUUAUGUAACUUAGAUCAAAAACCGUAGCAAGUUGUAAUUGCGGCAUUUAGUGCAACACGGGGAAGCAUCACAGCAUGUUAUUUUUAAAAGCCUUACCUCCCCAAAACCAACCAAACAACAAAUCCAAACAAACAAAACGAAACCAACCAACCAAACCCCAAGAAGGACGCCUCUAACCAUACCAAAGGACACAAGACAGCCUGCAGCACAGCCGCGCUGCGCUUGGCUGCAGCCGCAUUUCCUUCCCGUUUCAAAGGUAUCCCCGCACUUCCCUGCCUCGCCCCAUGAGCCUUUCCUCCCUCUGUCCUACCCAACAGCGCUGUCACUUCUUGAGACGGUGGAGGCCUUCCACACAAUCUCAACUUUUUUUCCUGCUACUCUGAAUCAGAGGAGCGUCUUUAGGGCUGGUGUUUAUCAGCCCAUCAGACGGCUGCAGUAAUAGAUGCUUUUAAGAGCUGAUAAAGCAUCCCGGUUUUCCAAGGGAAUAGUUUAACAACGACAAUAA